rnacentral:snoRNA from 1 species
GUGCAAUGAUGUCUACGAGAACAAGCAUAUGUCCGAGAGAUCCCCGCAUACGGGUCCACAUGAGAGCAUCACUCGAGUCCCUUGAAGCUGAGU